rnacentral:rRNA from 1 species
UACGUAGGGGGCAAGCGUUGUCCGGAAUUAUUGGGCGUAAAGAGCGUGUAGGCGGUCCGGUAAGUCGGCUGUGAAAGUCCAGGGCUCAACCCUGGGAUGCCGGUCGAUACUGCCGGACUAGAGUUCGGAAGAGGCGAGUGGAAUUCCCGGUGUAGCGGUGAAAUGCGCAGAUAUCGGGAAGAACACCCGUGGCGAAGGCGGUUCUCUGGGACGGUACUGACGCUGAGACGCGAAAGCGUGGGGAGCGAACAGG